CGCAAUCUUCACUAAAAUAACCAUUGUAAUAGCUCAUUUUUACCCGAGCCCAACACACCCAAACUUAACAACAAGCCUAAAAUCAACAACCCAAACCCAACCAACCCAAACACAAAUAACAAACCCUAAACAAAAUUAAAACCCGAGCCCAAAUUUUGCCCAGGUUCAAAUUAAACCAAAAAAAGAGUUCACAGUCCAUUACAAAAAAUUAAACCCAAAUACCCUAACCCAACAGGCCCAAACGGCCUAAGUACAAAUAAAAUAACCCUAAGCCCGGUUGACAGUAGCCCAAAGCCCAAGAAAUUUCAGCAAACAAAAACCCUAGGUGUGCCGCACCUAGGUCUUCUGACCCCUAGCCGCCAGCCUGCCUGCACCGCCUCUGCCACCAUCACAGCACGCCUCUAACACCUGCAAAAUAGCAGACAACACGCAACAACAGAGAAGAAGACAACAAGCAAAAAAACAAAUCGCAAAAGGACAAAAAUAAUGAUAACAAAUAGCCUUAGUUCGGCUAUAAAAGAAAAAAAAUGAAAACUCUGUACUUCUUCGGCAAGAUUAAUACAAAAAAAAAAGAUUUGAACUUUUUAAGGUGAUAUUUCAUUUUUCUUUAUGCUUUAGAUCUAUUUUUUAUUUCAUCUACAUCUACGAAAAUAAAUAAAUAAAAAAAGAAAAGAAAAAGACUUUGAUUUCAAGGUGAUAUUUCGUUUAUUUUAGAUCUAGUGUUUUUUUAUUUAUUUUUUAUCUACAAAAAUAAAAAAGGAAAAGAGAAACGUACCUAAUAUCGACCGUGGCUCCAUCGACGGAAGUCCCUCCGCCGUCGUCAGAAUCGGGCUUAAAAGGGAAAGGUUUUUUUUUAUUUUUCUUUUCUUUUUUUGGAUUUUUCGUCUCAAGAAACGGACUAAGGGAGGAGAAAUGGCCAAAAUGGUCUUUUUCCGAUGAACUCCGGUAACCGCAUGCGGUGGUCGAUGGCGACAGCGCUCGGUGCCUACGGUGGAGCCAUGGUGGUGUCCCAUGGCCGGAUCUGGAGAGGAAGGCUUUGAGAGGGAGAGAGUUUUCUAACAGUUUUUUUUUUUUAUUUUCUAAGGCAAAAAAUAAUUUUUGAAAAAAAGUUGGGUUUUAUAAGUGCAUGAAACGGCGCCGUUUUGCGCAAGUGCACAUCGACGUCGAAACGACGUCGUUUACAUCUUUACCCGCGCGCCUGAGUCCAACCCGAUGAAGGUUCGCGUGUUUUCAUGCCUGAUGGGUUAUUCCCCUACCCAAUCCUUCCGCUCUUGGGCUUCUU
rnacentral:lncRNA from 1 species